UACAAAAGGAACUACAAACACUUAAAGA
rnacentral:sRNA from 1 species